CAUAGGGUUGCUGGAUCAUAUGGUAAGAGUAUGCUUAGUUUUGUGGAAACCUCCAAAUUGUCUUCCAGAGCAGUUGUACCAUUUUGCCUUCUGAUCAGCAAC
rnacentral:pre_miRNA from 1 species